rnacentral:lncRNA from 1 species
GGCGGUCCUCCCUACUGUCGCCGGGAAUCGGAGCAAGGAAGUGUGAAGUCGGUGGUGUUGAGGCUAGGGCUCCGACGACGGCUUUGUUGCUGUCAAUCGGAGCGAGAGAGGGGUGGGUCUUCGGAUCUGAGAAGGAGGGAGGCGGCGGCACCUCGCCGUCGCCAAGGAGGAAGGCGGAGGCGGUGUGGAGGCUGUUUCCUCCGAGUUCGGAAACAUAUGGGAGGCGCGGUCGGUGGCAUCCUACGCCUGCUGCAGUCACCGAAAACGAACAGAGAAGAAGAGAGAGAGGUGGUGGCGGUCGGAGUUCAGUGAGGUGAACAGAGGGAGCCGGGCGGAGUUCGAAGGGAGGCGGCAGCGGCGGCGUGGUAUCGCCGGCAGUCGC